rnacentral:rRNA from 1 species
AGGACGAACGCUGGCGGCGUGCUUAACACAUGCAAGUCGAGCGGAAAGGCCCUUCGGGGUACUCGAGCGGCGAACGGGUGAGUAACACGUGAGCAACCUGCCCUUAGCUUCGGGAUAGCUCCGGGAAACCGGAAUUAAUACCGAAUAUGACUUUGGCUGACAUCAGCAGAAGUGGAAAGUUUUUCGGCUAGGGAUGGACUCGCGGCCUAUCAGCUAGUUGGUGAGGUAACGGCCCACCAAGGCGACGACGGGUAGCCGGCCUGAGAGGGCGACCGGCCACACUGGGACUGAGACACGGCCCAGACUCCUACGGGAGGCAGCAGUGGGGAAUAUUGCGCAAUGGGCGAAAGCCUGACGCAGCGACGCCGCGUGGGGGAUGAAUGCCUUCGGGUUGUAAACCCCUUUCAGCAGGGACGAAGCGAAAGUGACGGUACCUGCAGAAGAGCGCCGGCUAACUACGUGCCAGCAGCCGC